UAUACUGAAGAUGGAGCAUCCUUUUUUUCUGAUGUUCUGGAAUCUAGAACGAGGAGCAAUGAAUUCAUACUAUAGGAAAAGAUAUUUCACCUAAACAAUGGAAAGAAAUUCCUGAUGACUGAUUUAUUAAAGAAUGUGGAAGAGGCAACAAGAGAAUCAACUCUUUUGGAUUGCAUCAUAAGAGAUGGGCUGGUUAAUGGAGGAGAAGCAAUGAAAUUCUUUGGUGGGAAUGACCAUGUCAUCUUGAGAUUUGUGAUACAGAAGAAAAAGGAAAUCAGAUUUAAUCAGACCCUGGACUUCAGGAAAGCUGGUUCCUGCCAGAGGGCUCUUGUGCCUCACUAAACUACAAACCCCAGCAGUCCAUGGCAAUUAAAGUGAAAUCAUAAGGUCCCUAUGACUCAGCAACCAUCUCUAAGCCUAAUUUUCAGGGCUGUUCUGCUGACAAAAAGAAAAUUCCCAGACUUUUAUCAGCCUCUCUUAGCACUUCCCUAUUCCUUUAAAGUAAUGAAAACCUGUAUGCAGUACUUUGGCCACUUAAUGAGAAGACAGGAAAGCUUGGGGAAGACAAGGAUGCUGGGGAAAUGGAAGGAAGAAAGGAAGAGGGGCAGACUGAGGGCAAGAUGGAUGGAUGGUAUCCUUGAAGUGACUGGGUUUACUCUGAAGGAGCUGGGGGUGGCCACUGCCGACAGGAAGCUCUGAUGUGGGCUGGUCCAUGAGGUCACAAAGAGUCAGAAGUGACUGAGCAAAUAAACAACAAGUGUAUUUGAAGAACAAAAUACACAAGAUCACAGACACCAUGUAAUUUGGCUCAGAGUAAUAAACCAACAUACGUAUUAUUUAGAACAAUAAAUGCAAUAAGAAAUGUGGCUGAUAACAUCCAUUGAUACUUAAAGAAUGCUGGAAUGGACACCUUGACAUCUGUUUAAUGAUAGCAGAAGCUAACAGACCAACAAUCAAUAAGAAUAUUUUGUCCUUUGAUCCUUUUGUGCUUGGUUCAAAUAUCAGAACUUCACAUUAUGAUAUAAUAGCAGGCAGUGAAGGCUUCCCACAGAACCAAUUCUGACUUUAGGCAGCCAUUUCCGAUUCCAUAACAGUCUCUUGCCUCAUUGACCACCAAGUACACUCCAUAAGUGAUCACUUAACAGCAGAGGACACCACCUUUUCAGGCUAUUCAAAGUGUUCAAUCUUGCAAAUAGCCAUUGAAAGACAUAAUGAAUUUGUAUCAAUCUAAGAUUACACCCAUUUAUACUUCAAAUGUAUAUCUUUUGCAUAGAUGUGCUUCAGAUAAUGUUAUCCAGAAAACCCUGUGUACAUCUAUGUAGAUGUUACUUUUAUUGAAUUAAGUGGGAUUUAAUUCAAUAAAUCUGCAUAAAACACAUCAGUACAUACUGAGUGUAAUCGUAUACAAACACAGCGAUCUUUCUGUAUGUAUAGAUUUACAGAUACAUACACAGUCAGUUGUAAUCUAUUAAGUUGAGCACUAUGUUUGCCAUGCUGUUUUGUAAAGUUUCCUUGUGGUAAAAAAAUCUGGAUGUUAGAAAUGUCAGCUGGAGACCUGAAUUUGGAAUGGAACAGAAUUUGACAGCAGUGUGGAACGGAAAGUUGCAUUUUGGGUUUGAGUGCAUCUUCAAGGUUGAAUCAACAAAUCAUCAAUGCUCAUAUAUGUUUAAAGCUUCAAACUCUGUUUCAAAAUAUACAUAACAUAGCCCAAGAAAGAGUAAUUUUGAUGAUACUGGUAUCAUUACUAUUGUUGCUAAAAUAUUUUUAUUUCAUUCUUCAUGCAGGUGUUUAUGUACUAUCAGCAAAAAACAAUUCCUGCCUGCUGAUUCAUAAUGUAGAAAUGAAU